UGGUAGUGUAUUGGACUACCAUGGCAGUCACGGGUAACGGGGAAUUAGGGUUCGAUUCCGGAGAGGGAGCCUGAGAAACGGCUACCACAUCUAAGGAAGGCAGCAGGCGCGUAAAUUACCCAAUCCUGACUCAGGGAGGUAGUGACAAGAAAUAACAACCUGGGAGCCUUUGGCUCUACGGGAUUGCAAUGAGAACAAUUUAAAUCACUUAUCCAGGAACAAUUGGAGGGCAAGUCUGGUGCCAGCAGCCGCGGUAAUUCCAGCUCCAAUAGCGUAUAUUAAAGUUGUUGCAGUUAAAAAGCUCGUAGUUGAAUGUCUGGCGGUUGCGCGUUCCGGCUUCGGUCGGGCGCGCAGUUGCCAUCCGCACACAAACCCGGUACGGCCUUCACUGGUCCGGCCGGCGGAGUGUGCACUUUACCUUGAAUAAAUUAGAGUGUUUCAGGCAGGCAAUGGCUUGGAUACAUUAGCAUGGAAUAAUGGAAUAGGACUGACGUCCAUUUUGUUGGUUAUUGGAUAUCAGUAAUGAUUAAUAGGGACAGUUGGGGGCAUUAGUAUUUAAUUGUCAGAGGUGAAAUUCUUGGAUUUAUUAAAGACUAACUAAUGCGAAAGCAUUUGCCAAGGAUGUUUUCAUUAAUCAAGAACGAAAGUUAGGGGAUCAAAGACGAUCAGA
rnacentral:rRNA from 1 species